UUUGGGACUGAGAUAUAUCAUCACCAGCUGUUCACAAAUACUGGAGAUGUUAUAUUCGUUAUAGAUGCGCAUCGUUUUCGCAUUCGUCAUUCUUUCAAAUUUCUUCACAGCUAUUUCCUUUUGGUAUACAUCAAUAUGACACGACUAUUUCCUGUUUGCGUGCUGCUUAUGAUUGUGAUAACAGUAGUUAUGACAGAAUGCCCUAACGAGUGUGAUGGAUGUUGCUACGGGAACAUAUGCCGUGGUGAGGGACAUACAUGGUUGGAAAAGUUGCCCCGGAAGUGUUCUCGGAAACAAUGCAAACGUGUUUGCGGUCGUUGGAAAGCAGUUGAAAUAAGAGAGUAUUGUCGGUUGAUUAAUGCCGUAUGUUCUAAGAUAGACACAUCUUAUGUGACCAUAAGUGAUGACAAAUGCUGGAAUUACACCUGCAAAUAUCAGGGAGAUUCAAAAAUUAUAACCACGGUAGAAUAUGCCGGAUUAUGUUAACGUCUAAAGACAGAUUUGCCAAUCGGAAACCGAAGCCAAAGUCAAACCAGUUUACUAUGAACUGAUAAAGAAGGAAAUAAUUAUACCGGGUUAAGAUUUAAUUAUUGUUAUAUAAUCAUCACUGAACUACGAUUGAGAAAUAAUGUAAUAAACUAAUUACUGAUCCAACCCUGCA